GAUCCUGGCUCGGGAUGAACGCUGGCGGCGUGCUUAACACAUGCAAGUCGAGCGAAGCACGUAAGUUUGAUUCUUCGGAUGAAGACUUUUGUGACUGAGCGGCGACGGGUGAGUAACGCGUGGGUAACCUGCCUCAUACAGGGGGAUAACAGUUAGAAAUGGCUGCUAAUACCGCAUAAGACCACAGUACUGCAUGGUACAGUGGUAAAAACUCCGGUGGUAUGAGAUGGACCCGCGU
rnacentral:rRNA from 1 species